CUCCUACCCUGUAACACCCCCUCCUCAACUCAGGACUGAACUAGUGAUUCCAUCUUGGGCCCAGCCAAACGGGGUCCAGUCCCCUCCCUUCCUAGCUGGAUGGAUUCGGCUUUCUCUGCUGAUCACAUUAGACCAGCCUCUCAUUUUCUUCCAAUUCUGGAGCCCCAGAUUCCUCUCCUUUCCAAGUUAUGACAAACCUUCGAUAUCAAGAUAGUGAAGUUCCCAAACCUGAGAGUAUUGAAGGUCUAUUAAAGAGCUGGAGACAACAUGGAUGUUGUAGGAAAGUGAACCCAGGAGGAAGGAAUGCAUCUAAUUGGAAGAUACUGAACCCAGAAAUGAGCCCUAGAGUUCAGAAACAUCCAUGGAAGCUCUCGCUUUCAGGAUACAGAAGCUCUGCUCUGGAUAAAGACAGAGAAGACUACAGUUACACUUAAGGACAGCUUCGCAGGAAGUGAAAAGAACCUGAUUCCUGACAACGCUGUGGGAUGGACUGCCUACCCCUGGCUUUCUUUUAAUAAGAGAAAGAAGUUUA